rnacentral:rRNA from 1 species
UACGAAGGGGGCGAGCGUUGUUCGGAUUUACUGGGCGUAAAGGGCGCGCAGGCGGCUCAUUUUGUCAGGCGUGAAAGCCCCGGGCUUAACCUGGGAACUGCGUUUGAUACGGAUGGGCUAGAGUUCGGGAGAGGAGAGUGGAAUUCCCAGUGUAGAGGUGAAAUUCGUAGAUAUUGGGAGGAACACCAGUGGCGAAGGCGGCGAUCUGGGCAGAUAUUGACGCUGAGGUGCGAAAGCGUGGGGAGCAAACAGG